rnacentral:rRNA from 1 species
UACGUAUGGUGCAAGCGUUAUCCGGAUUUACUGGGCGUAAAGGGAGCGCAGGCGGCGCGCCAAGUCUGAUGUGAAACCCCGGGGCUCAACCCCGGGCAUGCAUUGGAAACUGGCGGGCUGGAGUGCCGGAGAGGUAAGCGGAAUUCCUAGUGUAGCGGUGAAAUGCGUAGAUAUUAGGAGGAACACCAGUGGCGAAGGCGGCUUACUGGACGGCAACUGACGCUGUGGCUCGAAAGCGUGGGGAGCAAACAGG